rnacentral:rRNA from 1 species
CCUACGGGUGGCAGCAGUGAGGAAUAUUGGUCAAUGGGCGAGAGCCUGAACCAGCCAAGUCGCGUGAGGGAGUACUGCCCUAUGGGUUGUAAACCUCUUUUGUCGGGGAGCAAAAGCCGGACGUGUCCGGCUGUGAGAGUACCCGAAGAAAAAGCAUCGGCUAACUCCGUGCCCGCAGCCGCGGUAAUACGGGGGAUGCGAGCGUUAUCCGGAUUUAUUGGGUUUAAAGGGUGCGCAGGCGGAUUUUUAAGUCAGCGGUCAAAUCGUGGGGCUCAACCCCAUCCAGCCGUUGAAACUGGGGAGCUAGAGUGUGGGAGAGGUAUGCGGAAUGCGUGGUGUAGCGGUGAAAUGCAUAGAUAUCACGCAGAACCCCGAUUGCGAAGGCAGCAUACCGGUGCACAACUGACGCUCAGGCACGAAAGCGUGGGUAUCGAACAGGAUUAGAUACCCCGGUAGUC